CGGUGUUGUGUAGGUGAGACGAUAUAACAUGAGAGAAAGAGAGUGCACAAUAUCAUCGUGCUCGGCCAUGUGGUGGCGUACUCUGGUCGGAGGGGUUCCGGUUAUUCUGGUUCUGGCCUUCGGCUUUCGACCACCCCAAAAAAGCAGAUCUGCCGGAGAAAAAAGGACGAAGAAGGAGAACGGGAACAGAAGACAAGAAGGAAGAUAUAAAAGAUGAGAAAAUACAAAGAGACGGUCGUACGUUGACGCAGAAAUUUAUACGAACGUCAGAAUGUAGGUUGAAAAAUAGAAAGAAAGGCAUCUUCGACAAACUGAAUAGCAUUAUUAAAUGUUCGAUUAAACUUUGUAAGGUGGCAGAUUUUCUCUACAAAUGAGAGUCAUUUAAGAAAGAUUGUGAGGCAUUUUCGAUGGCCG